rnacentral:rRNA from 1 species
GACGAACGCUGGCGGCGUGCCUAAUACAUGCAAGUUGAGCGCUGAAGGUUGGUACUUGUACCAACUGGAUGAGCAGCGAACGGGUGAGUAACGCGUGGGGAAUCUGCCUUUGAGCGGGGGACAACAUUUGGAAACGAAUGCUAAUACCGCAUAAAAACUUUAAACACAAGUUUUAAGUUUGAAAGAUGCAAUUGCAUCACUCAAAGAUGAUCCCGCGUUGUAUUAGCUAGUUGGUGAGGUAAAGGCUCACCAAGGCGAUGAUACAUAGCCGACCUGAGAGGGUGAUCGGCCACAUUGGGAGUGAGACACGGCCCAAACUCCUACGGGAGGCAGCAGUAGGGAAUCUUCGGCAAUGGACGAAAGUCUGACCGAGCAACGCCGCGUGAGUGAAGAAGGUUUUCGGAUCGUAAAACUCUGUUGGUAGAGAAGAACGUUGGUGAGAGUGGAAAGCUCAUCAAGUGACGGUAACUACCCAGAAAGGGACGGCUAACUACGUG